rnacentral:misc_RNA from 1 species
UCCGUCUUGACGACGGCAGUCGCUCUGGAGUGCCCAACUUAAUGAUGGCAACCAAAGCUAGGGGUUGCGCUCGUUGCGGGACUUAACCCAACAUUUCACAACACGAGCUGACGACAGCCAUGCAGCACCUGUCUCUCUGUCCCUUGCGGGCCUAUGAUAUCUCUACCAUAUUCAGAGGAUGUCAAACCCAGGUAAGGUUCUUCGCGUUGCUUCGAAUUAAACCACAUGAUCCACCGCUUGUGCGGGCCCCCGUCAAUUCCUUUGAGUUUCAGUCUUGCGACCGUACUCCCCAGGCGGCGAACUUAACGCGUUAGCUUCGAUACUGCGUGCCAAAUUGCACCCAACAUCCAGUUCGCAUCGUUUAGGGCGUGGACUAC